AUACGGAGGGCGCAAGCGUUGCCCGGAAUCACUGGGUGUAAAGGGUGCGUAGGCGGGGCUGUAAGUCAGAGGUGAAAGCCCUCGGCUCAACCGGGGAAUUGCCUCUGAUACUGCAGCUCUUGAGUCCCGGAGAGGCCGCUGGAAUUCCUGGUGUAGCGGUGAAAUGCGUAGAUAUCAGGAGGAACACCGGAGGCGAAGGCGGGCGGCUGGACGGGGACUGACGCUGAGGCACGAAAGCGUGGGGAGCAAACAGGAUUAGAAACCCUAGUAGUCC
rnacentral:rRNA from 1 species